GCAGCUGCCGGGGUGUGUGGGCGCCGGGGCGGUGCUGGUGGCCGGCGGGGAGGCCGCGCUGUGCGGCGCAGCGGCCGGGGCGGGUCCGGUGGCCCUUGGGGCUGCGCCUUCCCGGGAAAGGGGCCCAUGCCGGGCUGUACCAGACACGGUGCUUGGACCUUGAACGAAGUACGGACUGUGGGUUAAAGAGCAGGGCUGGCCUUGGUGGGGCGGCUGUCAGCAGGGAGCAGACUGCGGCAUGACCUUGUCACACGCCAGGUGAUAGCCUGCGCUUCGCUGGUUUAAAGGGUUUUUUUAAGGGUUCUGUCUCUGUCUGAUGCCUGAUAAUUGCAUUAAUGGUGUCUCAUUGUCAGGGACAAAUGGCUUGGUGUGACCAGCAGGAGGAGCUUUGCUUCCUUUUAAAGUCCUUAGUAUGUCUGGAAGAAGGUAGAUUUAGAUUAGAUAUAAGGCAGAAAUUCUGUACUUUAAGGGUGGUGAAGCACCAUCACAGGUUGCCCAGAGAAGCUGUGGACACCCUAUCCCUGGAAGUGUUCAAGGCCAGGCUGGAUGGGGCACUGGGCAGCCUGGUCUACUGGAAGGUAGAGGCAGGGGAGGGUUGGAACCAGGUGGUCUUUGAGGUCACUUCCAACCCAAAUGUAUAAUUCUAUGUCCGUAGACACGUAAAUCAAGUGUGAAAGAAGCUGAGAGAGCAGAUGAGAUGGUAUAAGGCAUCUCAGCAUGGUAUGGGAGCAACCAAGCUGACUUGCUUCCCUGCUGUUUUGCCUGUGCUCUCUGUCUCAUGUUGGCAUGGCUUAGCCAGCUGGCUAGGUGCUGUCUUAGUUUCAGCCCUCUGGCUGGCACACAAGAGGUAGGCUGUAAUUUUGGUUUUAAAGGCUUUCUUGUAGUGAACAUUAUCCCUGCUUGUGCUAGUCUUUUGUGCUGGGGAAUGGGAAAUAUGUGUUCACCAAAUGAGAGAGUAGUCAAAGCUCUGUGAGGCUUAAGGGGACUGGAGUUGCCUGAAACCAUGCAUGGAAGGCCUGUGCUCGAAACUGGAAGGGAAGAUGGUCAAAGUGUAGCAUGGCUUGUGAAAUAAUGCUAUUUCUAGUUACAGCUGACUCCUGUGAAAUAAAGCACUUUAUUAGACCAAGAAGAUACUUAAAAGAGUGGUGAAGAGUUGCAGGCUUGCUUGAAGUCUUGGCUGAAGUCCAGUAGUGAUACAGCUCAGAUGCAGCUCCCUCUGUUAAAGAAGCUGAACCAGUUGCAUGCCAUCCUUCAAACAGUCCAGUGUUCUGAGGGUGCUUCUCCUCACAGCCAGGUUCUCCUGUUUCAUCAUAUUCCUCACUGAAGAAAAGGAGUGGUGGGGGUGUAAUGGUCUGCUAAUAAAAUUCAUAGAAUCAAUAGUUCCAUAUAUCUGGAGAAUUCUGAAUAACAAGUACAGUCCCUUUUAUUUCCUUCCUGAUUCUGUUUCUUCUCUACACUGAUACCUGUACAUUAGGUGAGCUGUGGGUAAAAUAAAGGGCACUGGCAUGAUAACUUGUGUCAACAGCUGCUGUCCGCUGUAGACUUUAGACCUGUGCUUUUAUCUCUGCAGCUGAUACCUGGUAAAGAUGGUAAGUAUUGCAGUGGAAUGGUUGGGUCAAGCUUGGUUAUCUUUUCUAUAAUUGUCAGAAAAAGUGCUUGUGAAAUUUUCAACCAAGAUGGUCUACUGGCUGAAUGACAGGGUGUUUUGUUAAACUGGUUUAGAAACAGUUGGUUUUACUUGCAGUGGUUCCCUUGACUCCCUCCCCAUCCCCUUGGAGUCAGUGCUGCUGCUUUAAGGACCAUGCUGUGCGCCCCACUUUACAUAUAAUUGCAUUUUUUUUAUAUGUUACUUCUUUAUCUGUAGAUGUGGAUGCCACUAAUGUCUCAGCUAUGGUAGGAAAAAGGAGAUUACUUCAGAAAUCUACCCAAAUGAGUACCUGGUGCGAGAGAAAAGUAGAACAUAUUUUCUCUGCAUGUGUUGUUCACUAUGGUCAGUUUUGGGGGAUUUGAUACUUGCCAGUGUAUGGAUCUUACUUGUUGGCCACAGCUUGUGAGAGAUGUUAAUGAUGAAACUUGUGUUAAGUAUCUCAGACUUGAAUAAUCUGUUCACCUGAAAGUGCUAAUGUCCAAAUCCUGACCCAACAGGUCUUAAUUGCAAUGUCUAAGAAGCUUGCAGUCCUAUUGCAGAAAUGAGAGGUGUGGCUGCCUUUCAUAUGAAAAGAUAGAAGGUUACAGUAGAACUGAGAACCCACCUUAGGCAUUUCUUAAAUAUCAGUAUGCUCUGCUUGAUUGCUGUUAAUGAGAACCUACUCCAGUGUCUGCAUGGUCCUCAGCCUAUGAAGCUGAGAGGUUUGUGUGUACUUUACUAUGCCGACAUCCUGUACUGCAAAACCUAUGGGUUGUCUUUGUUACUGAAGUGAUUUUGGUCACUGUGGACUCCAGUAAGCAACCGCUCUGUUUUCUGACCUGGAGAAUCAGUUGGAAGAUCCUGAAGGAGGGAUGAGGAAGAUAAGCAGGAAUGUGUGAUGACUUCACUCUAAAGAAGAAAAUGCUCAGUCUAAGUUUAAUCCAAGUUCGUGCAUAAAGCCUGUCUUCAUGUCUCAGUGUUUGUUCUGACAAGUGUUUGCUCUUAAAGAAACUAAGCAUUUGGAUGCUUAAAUUGAGUAUUCACUGGGUAGUAUACAAAGCCAGGCUGCAUGAGAAACACAGAUUUCAGGAUGAAGUGUACAAAUACAUCAUGUCAUAAUUUUUAAGGUCUAGGUCUACUAUCACUGUCAACAUCCAUGUCAGUGAAGCACAGAGAACUGUUGGGGUUGUCUCAGUUCUUGGAAAUGAUCGUCACGCAUAGUGUCAUUCCUGGUAUGCAAACACUGGACAAAGGAUUUGCGUCUGCACUCAGAAAGUGACAGAAAUUAGAACAUGGUUUGUAAGAGUGAUACUAACUAUGCUAGUCUUGGCACAUAAAUUUUGUUUUAAGAUCCUCUUUCCUUAAUUAUCCCAACUGUAAAACUUAGUUGUUGCAGUCUGGAGGAAGGAGUGUAAGUGUCACUGACCAACUGCUUAUUUCAAAGCUUGUGGAGGAAGGGUGUAAACUCUUUCACAUCAAAAUUGCUGCUGAGAUGAUAGUGGAUGAAGAAGCUGUGAUGAAGGUUGGUUUAUUUUAAUUGUUUCCUGUAGAGCUGUUUUCCAAAAAGUUUCUGGAGUUGCAAGCAGAAAGGUGAGUGGAUGAGUUCAGCUGGGAAGAACAGGUAAGUACUUGUAUAUCAUGUUACUGUUUCCAAGUGUCUUAAUGCUAAGAAUACAUGGUGAGCUUGGAAAAACACAAAAGAGUGGAAGGCUUCUGUGCCUCUUUGAAGCGUUCUAAAUGAAAUUGUGGGGAGGCAGCUGUUAAACCAGUAUCUGGAAGAGCCUAGUAUUUCUGCACAGCCAGAACAGAGGAGUGUAAAGCAACUCUGGAAAUAAUUCUAAUGACUAAUUAUAAAGUGUUACCCUUUUUUUGUCUUUCAGCAAAAAGAAGAGUGCUCUAAGACCAGUCAGGAGUCAAGCUAGGAUGGACGUGUUUUUCAGCUGAAACAUGGCAACAGUUCAAUAACAGUUACACAACAGGAGAGGGUGUGCAGGCUACUGCAAGUCCCUGUGUUCUUAAGAUCUGCUAUCUAAAAGAACUCAGUAGAGAGAAAAAGGUGGUUGCUCCCACAGCUUUGAACUCACUCAGUUCACUCGAAUGAACUCAUUUGAAAAGAGAGCUCAUACAAUACUGAAACAGGAAAUUGAUUUUA